rfam:Picea glauca, whole genome shotgun sequence.
AUAUCUUUCUCGGCCUUUUGGAUAAGAUCAAGUGUUGUAUCUGUUCUUAUCAGUUUAAUAUCUGAUACGUGGUUCAUAGAACCACAUGAUAUUAAAUGUGUUUUUCUAGGGGUAGGUCCCACUCACAAUAGCUUGCUAUUGGGGCUCUCGAGCAUUGCACUACAACACCAACCUGGCGCACCCCAA